GAUGAACGCUAGCUACAGGCUUAACACAUGCAAGUCGAGGGGCAGCGGGUCGAAAGCUUGCUUUCGAUGCCGGCGACCGGCGCACGGGUGCGUAACGCGUAUCAAACCUGCCUCAUACUCGGGGAUAGCCUUGCGAAAGUAAGAUUAAUACCCGAUGUUGUUGCUUUCUCGCAUGGGAGAGUAACCAAAGAUUUAUCGGUAUGAGAUGGUGAUGCGUCCGAUUAGGUAGUAGGCGGGGUAACGGCCCACCUAGCCUUCGAUCGGUAGGGGUUCUGAGAGGAAGGUCCCCCACACUGGAACUGAGACACGGUCCAGACUCCUACGGGAGGCAGCAGUGAGGAAUAUUGGUCAAUGGGCGAGAGCCUGAACCAGCCAAGUAGCGUGCAGGAUGACGGCCCUCCGGGUUGUAAACUGCUUUUAGUUGGGAAUAAAAAAAGGGACUUGUCCCUUCUUGUAUGUACCUUCAGAAAAAGGACCGGCUAAUUCCGUGCCAGCAGCCGCGGUAAUACGGAAGGUCCAGGCGUUAUCCGGAUUUAUUGGGUUUAAAGGGAGCGUAGGCGGAUUGUUAAGUCAGCGGUUAAAGGGUGUGGCUCAACCAUGCAUUGCCGUUGAAACUGGCGAUCUUGAGUGCAGACAGGGAUGCCGGAAUUCGUGGUGUAGCGGUGAAAUGCUUAGAUAUCACGAAGAACUCCGAUCGCGAAGGCAGGUGUCCGGGCUGCAACUGACGCUGAGGCUCGAAAGUGUGGGUAUCAAACAGG
rnacentral:rRNA from 1 species